rnacentral:rRNA from 1 species
UACAGGAGGGGGCAAGCGUUAUUCGAAGAUUAUUGGGCGUAAAGAGCUCGUAGGCGGUUUGUCGCGUCUGCUGUGAAAACUCGGGGCUUAACUCCGGGCCUGCAGUGGGUACGGGCAGACUAGAGUGCGGUAGGGGAGACUGGAAUUCCUGGUGUAGCGGUGAAAUGCGCAGAUAUCAGGAGGAACACCGGUGGCGAAGGCGGGUCUCUGGGCCGUAACUGACGCUGAGGAGCGAAAGCAUGGGGGAGCGAACAGG